GAUGAACGCUGGCGGCGUGCCUAAUACAUGCAAGUCGAGCGAACGGACGAGGAGCUUGCUUCUCUGAUGUUAGCGGCGGACGGGUGAGUAACACGUGGAUAACCUACCUAUAAGACUGGGAUAACUUCGGGAAACCGGAGCUAAUACCGGAUGAUAUUUUGAACCGCAUGGUUCAAAGGUGAAAGACGGUCUUGCUGUCACUUAUCGAUGGAUCCGCGCUGCUUUAGCUAGUUGGUAAGCUAAUGGCUUACCAAGGCAACGAUGCAUAGCCGACCUGAGAGAGUGAUCGGCCACACUGGAAGGGAAACAGGCACCAGACGACUACGAGAGGCAGCAGAAUCGAAUCGGCCGCAAUGGGCGGAAAUAUUGCAGAGUAACGCGGCGCGAGAGAUAGCGGUCCUCCGUGCGGAAAACUCGGUUAUUAGGGAAGAACAUAUGUGUAAGUAACUGAGCACAUCUUGACGGUACCUAAUCAGAAAGCCACGGCUAACUACGUG
rnacentral:rRNA from 1 species